rnacentral:rRNA from 1 species
GGGCCCGCACAAGCGGUGGAGCAUGUGGUUUAAUUCGAUGAUACGCGAGGAACCUUACCAGGGCUUAAAUGCAGAACGACAGAGGUGGAAACACCUCCUUCUUCGGACGGUCUGCAAGGUGCUGCAUGGUUGUCGUCAGCUCGUGCUGUGAAGUGUCGGGUUAAGUCCCAUAACGAGCGCAACCCCUAUUUCUAGUUGCCAGCGGUUCGGCCGGGGACUCUAGAGAAACUGCCAGCGUAAGCUGUGAGGAAGGUGGGGAUGACGUCAAAUCAUCACGGCCCUUACGUCCUGGGCUACACACGUGCUACAAUGGUAGGGACAGAGAGUUGCCAACCCGCGAGGGUGAGCUAAUCUUCAAACCCUAUCUCAGUUCGGAUCGGAGUCUGCAACUCGACUCCGUGAAGUUGGAAUCGCUAGUAAUCGC